ACUUGUAUGCUUUUAAAAUGGAAUCCUAUCACUUGUCAUGAAAGGUGAAGUGUUGCCGCUGCUUUCAAGUUUCAACAUCAUCACCACCUGCAUCAACAUGAAUGGAUUAUAUUAUACACCAAGAGCGAGACAUACGUUUGUGGUAUGAAAGAACAGUGCACUUUGAUCAGGAUUGCUGUACAUAAACUAAGAUUCUUACUCAAAGGACUAAAUUAAUGAUAUUUGGUAAAGCUCUAAAGCUCUUUUUUGUAUGUAUGCACAACAGACUCUGGAUGUCAUACUUUAUACAUUUCAGGGUGGAUUUGCCUCUAUUUUUUUUCCAAAUCUUCAGGGAGGUAUCAGUAAAAGUUGCUCUGAUGACUCUGCAGAGGAUCAUGAGAUCACCCUCAAAAACUUGGCAAUGUACAGGGGAUGGAAUUAUCUCCUAGGCUUCCAAGUGGAAGCCAGCAGAAAUGCUCGCAGAACAUCAUUUAGCUCUGAAGAAAGAUAACCCACAUGCAAAAAGCUGAAAUUCUGUUACUUUGUGCCAACAGUUGGAAGGAAGAUUGUUUGCUGUGGCACCCGUUUUUAGAGGUGUACAUUAUAUGCUGUAGUCUCCUUUUAUUUAGUAGGCCAUGUUGGUUUCAUGCGAUUGCUUGGGUUUCAAGAGAAUAUGAAUGGGUUCAGAGACAAAAUAGAAUUCAUUCUAGAAGUGGGAUCUCUAUGUUGGCUAGAUGAAGUUAACCAUACUUAAUUCUGGUGCAUCUCCUUGCAUUUUUCCUCCCUGAUUGGCCUUGUUGACAAAUAUUACAGUUAAUGGGGCUGCUUGAGAUGUGCGUAUGAAUGAAUUCAGGGGAAAUACAGAAUUCAGUCUGCAAGUGUGAUCUCUGCUUUGGGUCUCCUUCAGAUUUUAUGCUGAUAAGAUAUUUUUGUAUUACAAAGUUGAAGCUCGAUUGAAUAUACAGUGAACGCCGGAGAGUGUAGGUGGAGCAUGCGGUGCUGACGUUCUCAGGCCUAAGGCAUACCAUAAUGUGAGUGACAUAGUAUGGAUCUAACAAAAGACCAGGGUGAGUUGAGAGAGGUUCUGAAAAAUUAGCAGCUGGAGAUUUCAUGGCAAGAUCCGAUAGGGAUGGGGUAAUUGGGUGUGCUUGCUAUUGCUGCCCUCCUAGGGAAUCAGAAGCCUCUACUGCAAUCAAGGUGGAAGCAGUUCAUCCCUCUAAUUGGCAUGGUGAAGGGCAGAUGCUGCCCAAUGGGAAUACGAAUGAGAAUGUAAAUGGGAAGGGGGAUGCCAGAAUGAACAAGUGCAGUAAUGGUAUGCCUCUCAAAAGCAAUCUAAAAAGGCCAUCUGGGACUUCAGACGAUCCUAUCGCUGGAGACGCACAGAAAAAGACAGGCUCAAGUGAGAAUACUGUGGGUAAGGAACAUCUAGCAGAGGCGGAGAAGGGGGAGUCCAAUGUGAAUACUAAGCGAAAAGUGCAGUGGACUGAUGCACAUGGGCAGGAACUAGCUCAAAUCAAAGAAUUUGAACGCAGGCUUACACAUUGUCUAACUGGUUAGGGUUAAUCCAGUUGCCGCGUACUCAAAGACUAGUUUUAUGGCUUUUCCAUGUGCGAGCUGGGCUGAUUUGAUGUCAGUCCUGGGCCAUCCAGAUUGCGUGCCUCUGGAAAUUGGUGCACCUCCACUUGCUGGAGAAUUUCUCCACAGCCAAGCCUGGAACUUGGUUCGUGAUUCCAACCCAUCAUCGGAUGAAGGCAUAGGGAAUUCCGAUGAAUCUUGUACAUGUGUUAUUCAGUGAUGUCAGUGAAGUAGCUAAAAAUGGAGCAGAAUGGAAGCAGAAUUUUCUAAAGUUUUGAGAGAUGAGGUGUGAGAUUUUUUAACUUCAUUCAACCCAAUCAAGAGUAGGUAGGGUUGGACAAAACCAACAACCUGCACAAAUGCUCUGAAAACCUAGAUAGUUCUGCCAAUUAAACAAGAAGCUGGGUAAAGGAAUAGUUAUUCAGCAUUGUGUUGGUGGAAAAUGAAAUUCCACGCUCUUGAAAAUCUGAACAAAUCAACUCUUCUGAAGGUGUAUCAUCGAUUCGGGCUGCAUUAAACCUAUGUGGAAUUUGUCGUCAUUUUGUAUAAUCCCAUUUUCCAUCCGUCAUGCCCCUACAUUUUGUGUUGGUAUGUUUGUGGGGAAGUAAACAGCUUCCAAUGGGCAACCAACAUAAGUGAACCUAGCUCCUUUGCUAGACUAUUGGUUUGAUCUUUAGAUUUUUGUGGGGGUCCUACUGCAAUUUUUUGAUACUGUUCAAUUGCAGACAGAACUAGUGGAGCUUACUGCAAAUGGUUAUAUGGAAACCUUUUAAACGGGUUUCAGAUAUUUGCAGUUUGAUAAAUUGCUUUUCAGAGAGUUACCAAGUGUUUCCUGUGAGAUUUUGUCCUUUUGUAGUCAGUUGGAAAGCCACAAUGUAUGACAGAUAGAACUGGAGUUUGUUGUAUUUUUACUGUAGGAUUUGAAUUCAAGAGAUUGGAAGAUAUCUAGACACAUGGCUUUAUUCUUUGAAUUUAUUGAGAAAUCGUCAUUUGAUGGGUA